rnacentral:snoRNA from 1 species
AAAGCGUUAGGUAUUAACCUGUGGUUUAAUUCACAAAAUAGGCCACAGUUAUGCAAUAAACGCUAGAAAAAAAACGGUAGUAUUUAAUAACGUGUUGACUAACAUCUGCGGAUAAAAUAGCUUUGCGUUUUGAGGUACUAACCACAGUA